rnacentral:rRNA from 1 species
GAUGAACGCUGGCGGCGUGCCUAAUACAUGCAAGUCGAGCGAACGGACGAGAAGCUUGCUUCUCUGAUGUUAGCGGCGGACGGGUGAGUAACACGUGGAUAACCUACCUAUAAGACUGGGAUAACUUCGGGAAACCGGAGCUAAUACCGGAUAAUAUUUUGAACCGCAUGGUUCAAAAGUGAAAGACGGUCUUGCUGUCACUUAUAGAUGGAUCCGCGCUGCAUGAGCUAGUUGGUAAGGUAACGGCUUACCAAGGCAACGAUGCAUAGCCGACCUGAGAGGGUGAUCGGCCACCCUGGAACGGAGACACGGUCCAGACUCCUACGGGAGGCAGCAGUAGGGAAUCUUCCGCAAUGGGCGAAAGCCUGACGGAGCAACGCCGCGUGAGUGAUGAAGGUCUUCGGAUCGUAAAACUCUGUUAUUAGGGAAGAACAGAUGUGUAAGUAACUGUGCACAUCUUGACGGUACCUAAUCAGAAAGCCACGGCUAACUACGUG